UACGAAGGGGGCUAGCGUUGCUCGGAAUCACUGGGCGUAAAGCGCACGUAGGCGGAUUGUUAAGUCAGGGGGUGAAAUCCUGGAGCUCAACUCCAGAACUGCCUUUGAUACUGGCGAUCUCGAGUCCGGGGAGAGGUGAGUGGAACUGGCGAGUGUAGAGGUGAAAUUCGUAGAUAUCGCAAGAACACCAGUGGCGAAGGCGGCUCACUGGCCCGGUACUGACGCUGAGGUGCGAAAGCGUGGG
rnacentral:rRNA from 1 species